ACACACAGAGACACAUACACUGAUCAACAUACUGACACACAUACACUGACAGAAAUACUGACACCCACACACUGACAGAUAUACUGACACCCACAUACACUGAGAAAUACUGACACACACACACAGGCACAUACACUGACACACACACACACAGACAUACUGGCACACAGACAGAUAUACUGACACAUGCAUACACAUGCACUAACAGACAUACUGACGCACUGACAGACAUACUGACACACACAUACUGACACACACAGAUAUACACA